UCACUUAGCUCCAAGCUCCGUGCCCAUACACACCAUAUUCUCCACUUUUCUUUUAUGAAAGUGAAUCGAAUCUUGAGCAUUCGAGUACCUUCUCAAGACGGCUGACAAAUGCUAAGCUCAGAUACCUCUCAAGCAAACAAGUUUUAUCGGAAGACACAGCCUGGACCAAUCCAAUGUUCUGUUUUUUUUGAGGAUGCAAUUACUGUUUACUUUCUACAAAUUGUAAAUAUAUUGGUGAAAUGUG